AAAACUUUCAACAACGGAUCUCUUGGUUCUGGCAUCGAUGAAGAACGCAGCGAAAUGCGAUAAGUAAUGCGAAUUGCAGAAUUUCAGUGAGUCAUCGAAUCUUUGAACGCACAUUGCGCCCUUUGGUAUUCCGAAGGGCAUGCCUGUUCGAGCGUCAUUAUCACCUCUCAAGCCUGGCUUGUUGUUGGAUCUAGGUCUGGGUUUACCCCCGACCGGUCCCAAAAGUAAUGACGGCGUCCGUGGGACUCUCGGUGCAACGAGCUUUAACCAGCACGCAACGAGUCGAAAGGUCCCCCGGCACGGUCUAUAACCAAAAUUUUACAAGGUUGACCUCGGAUCAGGUAGG
rnacentral:rRNA from 1 species